rnacentral:lncRNA from 1 species
AAAAAUUGGAGCACGUUGGCAGAUCGCGGGCCUUGUGGUAGGUGAGAGGAUAAAUUCUAGAGCUCUCUGCUCUCUACCUAUCCAUUUGGCUAUUCCUCAAUCCUCAGUCUCCAUUUAUAAAAAAACAACAAAGCAACUAGUCAACAAAUCCUCACUCCAGCUCCUCCCGGUCACACUCUCAUCAGCCUUCAAUUUCCUCGCCUCCUACCUCCCUUCCGUUGGGGUUUCCUGAG